rnacentral:tmRNA from 1 species
UUGGUUGCAUCAUCAUGACCCCUCACCUAUCUUAAGGGGGCCGGGCAACCGGCUAUGUCGGUAGACUAUCGGGUGGAAUAGGCAUUUCGGACCCGGGGGGCAGUACCCCGGCGCCUCCACCACCAGCGGCGAUGCGUGAAAUCGAAGGAUUUCCGCCGUUGCUGAUGGGGGCGAAACAGGAUCGACGAGUGCAAUAAAGGCCUGGUUGCCGAUCGGAUCGGGCCACCGUGACGGCUCAUUCACACAAGUGCCAACGAUAACGAGGCGCUCGCAAUUGCUGCGUAACUAAGGGCCUAACGGUCUAAGGUUACAAAGACAAAAGCGCGGUCGGACCCCACCGGGCAACAGAAGGGGAUUCCAGCGGUUCGGGGAGCACCGGGCAACAGAAGCUCCCCACC